AGCAAGUCAGGGCCCCUCCUGACCAGGGACCAAGGCUUCGGAGAAGACUCUGGAGAAGGCUCGGAGGAAACUGGGAAGCUGGUUCUUUGGCCCAAAGUGCUUUUACAGCCUACCUGUAUUUUACCGGCCCUCCUAGACGGGGGGAACUCCCCUGUCCUCUGCAGGAAUGUCAAAAGCCACCCAUCUUUAACCACCUAAUGCUCCCAUCAGCAGAGAGGCACACAGCACAGUGAACGUCGAGCAUGCACACCAGGAAGCCCAGGUUCGAGUUCUGACCGUCACUUACUGGUGGUAAUUGACAUACUUUGGAACCGUGUUGAAGGUCACGGGAGCUCUGCCAGGAAGACCCAGGGAGAAUGAAUGAG
rnacentral:lncRNA from 10 species